rnacentral:misc_RNA from 1 species
AAACAAUGCAAUGUUAAUAAUAAUAUUUUAACAAUAAUCACAAAAUUUGUCGUUGUAUCAAACCAGAAAUUCUCACAAUUCAAGCGAAUGCAGGUUGAUUCAAGUGACAAAAACGUCAACAUUAAAUGCAGAGUUUGCAAAAAUGAAUUUCCAAACGAAGUGCAGUUCGAUGCACAUCUGAAGGAGAAUCCGAAGUGCGAAAAGUUGACUUGUGACGUGUGUCGGAAACAAUCUAAUUCGAUCUCCAAUUUGAAUAUUCACAAGUUAAUACAUUCGAAUGAAAAGAAAUUAAAAUGCGACGAAUCUAUUGUGGUUAUUCAACUAUAUGGAAAGACAAUUUAGACAAACAUAUUUUGCUAACACAUUCUAAAGAACCGAAUUUUACUGGAAACCUUCCACCGAGAUAUCAGAAUUUGGAAAAAUAUCGAUGCAAGCGUUGCUCCAAAAUUUGUUCAUCUCUAUCUGAAUUAAAACUUCACGA